rnacentral:rRNA from 1 species
UACGGAGGGUGCAAGCGUUAUCCGGAUUCACUGGGUUUAAAGGGUGCGUAGGCGGCCCAGUAAGUCAGUGGUGAAAUCUCCCCGCUCAACGGGGAAACUGCCAUUGAUACUGCUGGGCUUGAAUUACUGGGAAGUAACUAGAAUAUGUAGUGUAGCGGUGAAAUGCUUAGAGAUUACAUGGAAUACCGAUUGCGAAGGCAGGUUACUACCAUUAUAUUGACGCUGAUGGACGAAAGCGUGGGGAGCGAACAGG